rnacentral:rRNA from 1 species
UGGGGAAUAUUGCACAAUGGGCGCAAGCCUGAUGCAGCCAUGCCGCGUGUAUGAAGAAGGCCUUCGGGUUGUAAAGUACUUUCAGCAAGGAGGAAGGCGUUGUGGUUAAUAACCGCAGCGAUUGACGUUACUCGCAGAAGAAGCACCGGCUAACUCCGUGCCAGCAGCCGCGGUAAUACGGAGGGUGCAAGCGUUAAUCGGAAUUACUGGGCGUAAAGCGCACGCAGGCGGUCUGUCAAGUCGGAUGUGAAAUCCCCGGGCUCAACCUGGGAACUGCAUCCGAAACUGGCAGGCUAGAGUCUUGUAGAGGGGGGUAGAAUUCCAGGUGUAGCGGUGAAAUGCGUAGAGAUCUGGAGGAAUACCGGUGGCGAAGGCGGCCCCCUGGACAAAGACUGACGCUCAGGUGCGAAAGCGUGGGGAGCAAACA